rnacentral:tRNA from 1 species
GCCUCGUUAUAUCAGUCGGUAGAUAGUGUGACUCUUACGCAACAAGCCAAUUGAUCACACAGUCAUGGGUUCGAGCCCCAUACGAGGCU